ensembl:lncRNA novel transcript
AAGAGAUACCAGAAGGGAAACUGGGAAGCUGGAGGAGAAGGGGAGAGGACCAUGCCUUCCCUGUGUGUUUCCCAGACAAAAGACAAAGCCUUUUGCUUCUGCUAUAAAUAGGACACCCUCAGGAAAGCUGGAGCUUCUAAUUCUUCCAGUGAUGGAACUCAGCAUAUGUCUGAGGAGCAGAGAAUUCAGAAGCUCCCAUGGGCCUCCCACAGCUGGAAUCUAAAACAACCACAGAAGUCUCAGAAAAGAGAAUAUAAAAGCAUACAACAAAAUAAAGGACUCAUAAGAGUACAGGGAUCACAUACAUGAAGUUGAACAAUGUUCGGUUUUAAUUCUUCACAAUUAUCAUUUGUAAGAUUGUAGACAACAGAUCACAUGUGGGAGAUGCUUGAAGUGGAGAAGUGUGUCUCCAAAAGUGUGAUAUCUACAAUGAAUCAUUUGGAAAGAGUCCUCAGCAAGCUGUGGUGUCUUAUGCCUGUAAUCCCAGCAGUUUGGGAGGUCGAUGUGGGUGGAUCGCUUGUGCCCAGGAAUUCAAGAUCACCCUGGCCAACAUGGUGAAACCCCAUCUCCACAAAAAAUACAACAAUUAGCUGGGCAUGGUGGCGCAUACCUGUAGUCCCAUCUCCUCGAGAGAGGCUGAGGCAUUGGCCAUGGAACCCCAAGUCUCCAGCCAUCUCCAGUUCUCUGCAGGCACUGAAUGUAUGUGCUAAGGCAAGCCAUCUGCAGCUGCUGCUUGAAGGGAGGUACAGAUACAACAGUUGGAAACCUUGGUCACCACAGCAGAGGUGUGGGGCCAAUCCACAAUGCAGUUGGAGCAUGUUAACUUAUGGAUGAAAUGACAGAGAAGACACAGCUGCUUCAGCGCUCUCUCCAUGCUUGCAGGAAACCAUCUACCACCACUCAGGUUUCCAGCGGAGCCCAUCCGAGCAGCACAGCUGCCACUGGGUACCACAACCCAUGUUGCAGCCACGUGGCUGGCCCAGAAGCAGCAGGGAAUGAAGGCUCACUCACCUCGGGAUCCUCUUCGUAAUGCCAGUUGUCGGUUCUAACUGAGGUGCGAGGGGAGUUGGUGGGCAAGUGGCAGUUGGCUUAGAAUUACAAUCAGGAGAAAGGAAUGUUCUUUUGCUAAUGAAAGAGGAGAAAUUGGCAAUGUUCCAGUCCCAAGUCUAGGCCUCGGGAGGCUUGCAUUUUGCCAAAUUAUGAUCCCCUUCUCAGCUGCUGCUCUUUCAGCAUGGACGCUAUCACAAACACAUGGAAAAUGGCCUUCCCUAGUUAAUCCCAGCCAAACCAAACCCAGGUGCAAACUAGAGCCACACAGCCAAACCCACCCUACACCAACCAUUCCCAGCUGAACUGUAUCCAUGAGAAUAAAUUAUUGUGGUUUUU